UGCACACGAAAUGUGAAAAAAAGUAACGUUCAAUUUUUAAUUCAUGAAUUUUAUCUUUUGUUUUCCAUGUCUCAACGUAUUUGGUAGAUGGGGGGAAAGUACUGUAUGAAAGGCAAGAGACACUAGUGAUCUGGGCAUGAUUUAGGUAUGUAACUGAGAGAGCAGAUGCAUUGCAUGGCUAGACAUGAACCUGUUAGGAGCACUUCUGCAAAGGUGGGAAGGACUAAUUAAUCAUUAACACAGGGGAAGCUUCCUGAUGUUUCCCAGUCACAAAAACCAGAACCAGAACAACUGUCAGCUGUUCCUUAAAGUCCUGUGGUGGUAUUUUCUGUAUAUACUCUAAGCUCACUUCCUCUUAGCAAGAAGCAUAAUUCAGAACACAGGAUUCUUUCCAGGUAGGCUCUUAGCCUUUCUCUUGAUUCCCAAUAAAGCCUACAGAUUCAUUUAAAAUAUGUGUGUGUGUACAUAUUGCUAUCUUGUCAUAAAUGGUCUACUGAUGAACAUGUAAAUCUAUGGGUCCACUGUGAUAUGUAUUUGUUUUGUUUUUGUUUUUGAAGAAGCUGUCUCACUACGUAGCCCUAACUGGCCUAGGACUGUGUAGAUCAGGGUAGGCUUGAACUCACAGAUCUGCCAGACUCUGCCUCCCUAGUGCUAGGGUUAAGGUGUGUACUGUAACUAGAGCUGUUUUUAGUUCUAAAUAUCUUACUCCCUAUUCACAGUGUACACUGCCCAUGUUUCUCCCAUCCGUGGGAGAAGGUACAGAGACCACUAGAAACUACCUUUCCCAAGACUUCAGUGUUCCCAGCACCCUGCCUCCACUGCUCUGUGUUCCUGCACUCAGCCACACAGCUAUGCAGGCACAGUUCAUGCUGAGCUCCCCUUGGAGAAAAGCUGUAAAACAUAUGAUCUUUUCCAGGUGUUAGAAGAGAUAAUUCCUAACAAAUGAUUCAAAAACAGUAAGGCUGAAGCCACAUGGCCAUUCUUACAUAAUGUAGAGUAUUUGUACUUGUGGGCAAUAAAGAAAUGGAAUUAUAUAUGAAUGUAAUUAUUUGUAAAUUUAUUUUGCAGUGCUCAGGAUCUGAGCCUUGUGCAUUCUAGGCAAGUGCUCUACCACCAAGCUAUACAUACCUCUAGCUCUAGAACCUUAAAAAGAAUUAUUAUUAAAGUGAUACAAACAUAUACCCAAAUUGUGUUUUUUCAGUAUGGGGCUAUGGUUCUGUUCUCAUGUCCUGAUGUCUAACCUCUGGUUCUCACUGCACUCCAUUCAGACUGAAAGCUCAGCGAUGAAGAACAAAGAACACAGAUGCUUGCAGACUCCGCCUCUAGACUGUCUCUCUCUCCAGAGCAUGCGAAGAAGGGUCCCAUGCCAUCCCUAAUGCAUCAUGGAGGAGAAAGCUGCAAACCAUGAUGCACAGGACCUACCUGGAAAGUACCGCUCUGGAACUUUGGAAAUGUAGAAGAGGAAAGCAAGAAGAGCAAUCACAUACAUCACAAUUACUCGGGGUGCAAAGUCCUGGAAAGCAAAGUACAGCUGCUUAGAUUUUCCCAGUGCUACUGAGAUCUCCUGGGGCUCAGAGGAAGAGGUCCACAGCAAUGGAGCAUAGGGGUGGCCUCAGAGUUCGCUACUUAUGGAACUUGAGCUUUGACACUGGUGACAGUCCCGUGAUUGCCUAACUCCUCUACAAAGUAGUUACAGAGUGUCAUGGAUACAAGAGCUGAGUUAGCAGAGAUAAAGACCGAACAGCUUCCCACAUCCCAGAGAAAUGCCUUGAGCAUUGCUACAUGAAUCUCACUGCUGGUGCGUGGGCCUAAAGGUCUGCCCGACUCUAGUGACAAUCAGCAGGCUGACACAUAUCUGCUCCUGCCCCUGGUUACAAACAGUCCAUGUAAGACAUAGAGACAGCUUCUCUGUCCCUUCUCAAGUAGAUAAGAAUGAUCUUGGCCUUCUCCAACUCUAUAUUCUUCAGGGUUAUCAGUCUCAGAUUUCUAACCAUUCUAGACCAUUUUAACCAUUUCUAACCUUGUCUGUCUUCAGCCAUUCAUUAGGCUUACCCGUCUGGAAAUCUCAUCUUUAGGAGGGAUAUCUCUUCCCAACUUUAAAAGAUGAGAGCUUUUGAGUGAACUUCUUCCAAGGUUCCCCUUUGCUUCCUAACUAGAAUGACCAGUGUUCUUACUAGAAUCAUGUUUUUAAGUACCACUGUCUUUAUAUGCCUGUUCUCUAUCCUAAGUCUUGUGAAUAUAGGAAUAUACAAAAUUUCCUAAAUUCAACUCUAAAGUUCUUGUUCUUUUUAUCACCAUAAGCUGACUGUAAUUUACCACCUCUAAAACUAAUCAUUUUCUGUCAGCUGCCAGUCAGUCUUUUCUAGUUAGAAUUAAAUUAUAGGUAGCAGCUUCUCAUUCUACUGACUUAUUCUUGGGGGCUCAAAAUUACCAGAAAAAUGGUGUCUUCAUAUGCAGCAGGACAGUUAUGUCCUUCCCCACUCAUACCAGCCUUGUUACCUUCCUGAUCUUAGGAAGAGAAUACUGCUCUUCCUUGAUUUACCACACCACUAUCUCGCUCUGUCCCCAAACCACCGUUCUCGUGGCUGCUUUAGCAGGUAUCUUCCUCUGUGCCACAGUGAAAGCCAGCCUGCUGACAGCCUUCCUCUCCCGGUCAGCCACCUCUCCUGGAAGUGACGACAAUCUCCAUUCGCAUCCAGACAAACGGCACCAUGACCAGUGAGACUUGCGCCAGCUCUCUUGGCAUAUUUACUCACAGUAAACCUUUUCAAGUGCUCUCUCUCUAGCACACACUUGGAGCCUUUUUAGAAGCAUUUCUAAAGACACAGAAACUCGUUCUGUGGUGCUCAGGAAGACAGAGCCCUACGCCCUCCUGGAGCUCUUCCCCUCACAUUUCCCAUUUCCACAGGAUCCGAAGCCACGGAAUCAACAGCCCUUCCUCUACUUGUUCAUUUCUUCUUCUCGCUGGGUUGAACAUACUCCUCCAGCUCCAGCGACCAGCGUGAUGCUGCUGUCAGAUAUGCAUCACCCGUCUCCAACUCUAUCCUCAGUUCAAACCCCGUGUCUACUUCUAUUCAUAUCCCUUACACAUCUCUGGCACCACAUGUCCAACCAUAAUUCUUCCUCCAGCAAAAGAAACCGACUGCUCCACCUCUCUAGCCCAUUGUCUAUGCUUCACCACUAGCGCAGCAGGCAGAACUGCAAACUUGGAGUCCUCCCUAGAAUCGACGUGUGUUCUCAUAUACCAAGACAGAAAAAGACUGAUGUUAUUUCAUACAAUGACUCAGCAGAAAUGAGUAGAGUCUAAUGUGGUUUUGAAAGGUAUGCUUAUUUAUAUAGUGGUGAAAACUAUGUUUCACCAUGCAACUAAAAACAUGCUCCCAAAGGAUUCGGAGCUACCCACAUGGCCUCGCUAUACCACGUUACCCAAGAAAUGAAAAUGAAAGACAAAAAAACAAACUCCUGACCACACUCAGCCUACCUGGACAAUAGGAGCACUGAUUCCUCCAUUGAGCCAGACCCAGUGAAGAGUCGGGAUCACUCCAUAGCC